rnacentral:misc_RNA from 1 species
UCUCCGUAGGUGAACCUGCGGAGGGAUCAUUACAGAGUUCAUGCCCUACCGGGUAGAUCUCCCACCCUAUGUUAUUAUUACUUUGUUGCUUUGGCGGGCCGUUAGGCUCCGGCCCGACUACCGGCCCCGGCUGGUAAGCGCCCGCCAGAGGACCCAAAACCCUGAAUAUUAGAGUCGUCUGAGUACUAUAUAAUAGUUAAAACUUUCAACAACGGAUCUCUUGGUUCUG